GCGUUAAUAUAUGACCCGAUUAGCAGCUUCCGGGAAACCAAAGUUUUUCGUUUCCGGGGGAAGUAUGGUUGCAAAGCUGAAACUUAAAGGAAUUGACGGAAGGGCACCACCAGGAGUGGAGCCUGCGGCUUAAUUUGACUCAACACGGGAAAACUCACCCGGCCCGGACACCGUAAGGAUUGACAGACUGAGAGCUCUUUCUUAAUUCGGUGGGUGGUGGUGCAUGGCCGUUCUUAGUUGGUGGAGCGAUUUGUCUGGUUAAUUCCGAUAACGAACGAGACUCUGGCCUAUUAAAUAGACGAUAUAUUUAAAAGUAUAUCGCGCUUCUUAGAGGGACAAGCGGCGUCUAGCCGCAUGAAAUAGAGCAAUAACAGGUCUGUGAUGCCCUUAGAUGUCCGGGGCUGCACGCGCGCUACACUGAAAGAAUCAGUGUGCGUUACGCCUAGUUCGGAAGAACCGGGUAACCCAAGUAAAUUCUUUCGUGCUUGGGAUAGGGAAUUGCAAUUAUUUCCCUUAAACGAGGAAUUCCCAGUAAU
rnacentral:rRNA from 1 species